rnacentral:misc_RNA from 1 species
CUCUCUCUCUCUCUCUCUCCUCAUUUCUCAAUAAUGGCAAUAUCAAAUACAACAGCUCCACCACCAACAAGAACAGCAACGUCGAAGGGAUGGGUGAGCAAUCUGCCUUCGAUAGCAUCUCGAAUCUAUUUCUUUCUAAUCAUUCUUCAGGUCCCUCUUUUCAGGGUCCCAUGCAGAUCUGGCAUGUGUUCUACACCAAUUCAUGUCACAUCUUCCCAGUUGGUUGCAAGUGAGAUCUUUCCUGUUCCUGUAGUGAAAGCUCUUCUCUACCCUGGAGCUAUUGUCAAUGGUCUUGUCAGGAACAUGACUGUUCCAAGGUGGGACAACGUGUUGAGCAUCUAUAACUUGACCAGUGUGAAAGAAGCACCAGCAGUAGUUGAUCUCCAGCGCUUAGAGGUUCUUGCUGGAAGCUAUUUUUCUGUGGCAGGAGCACUUGUGGGCAUAUUAAAACCUGGGAGGAUGAGCAUGUUUGGGACACUUUUGGUAAUUUGGGGCCUUGUCAAGGAAGGGAUCCUAGGAAAGCCAACAAAUACAGAUCCUGCUAAAGCUGUCUAUGUCUACCCAACAAUGUUGCUUGCCCUGAUCUGUGCCUUCUCAUCUGUAAAGUAUGACAUGAAGAAGGGUGUAAGAAGUGCACCUGCACGAUCCAUCG